GGCCCGUUGGUCAAGCGGUUAAGACGCUAGCCUCUCACGCUGGAAACACGAGUUCGAUUCUCGUACGGGUCACCA
rnacentral:tRNA from 1 species